UUUCCUCGAAUACCAAUAGCGGCAUUGAUUGAUUGAUUAGGAGAUCACCUGGCUGGGCAGUCCCGAGCUGAGAAGUUCAGGUGAGGUGAAGGUUCACAGAGGUGUUUCCGCUGCAGCCAGGUGGGAAAAGAAGCCAAUUUAAUGUGAAUUAGGGCCGGGAAAUGUGCUCAAGUUAGACAAAGAAGGAGAAGGAAACAAAGAUUAACAGCGGAUGGUGCAUCAGUGUGCAGGAGAUCUCAGAGACGCUAUUGAUAUGUUAUCAACAACUGAUGGUUGUGGAAAACUAAAUAAAUUCAAAGGAAGAAGAUUUUAAGGAGCUGAGUUGUCAAGUGUCAUCUUCUAAAGCCUUUUUCGAGUCACUGAAGCCACACUCCAGUUAACUCGACAUCUAUUCUCAAAGCCUGGCCUUUUGCACGUGGAGGCAGGUGGAGUAGCAGGUCAGGAUGGAAAGAGAAAGCAGCAUGGAUCCUGCCAGUCACACAGGGCCCAGAAGACUGAGUGGCCAGGUCCUGCAGGACCAACUGGCAGAUGGCUGCCUCCGGAUAAUGACCAGGUGACAUCUGUAGAGUGAACAAGCUAUCAGGCUAACAGACUCACCUUGACCCACCAGGGAAGCCAAGCUGCCCAUUCUCAACCUCCUUCUCCUCCUCCUGCAAUCCCCUCAGGUUACACCCACAAAUCGAGAAGUAUAACAGAAGUUUAUUGAUUCACUAAGUUUCUCAACUCACUGGAAAAAAGAGGUGUGAGAAUGUCCUGAAAAAAACAUUAACAGAUUUUAUGUGGGUGUUUGAAUUGAAUUUUCUUUUAUUCACCAGAGAUUCAGUCGCUUCCUCUAUCAAUGCCAAAGUACUAGAAGUAAAUUUGUCUCCAAACCA